rnacentral:rRNA from 1 species
GAGCACGUAGGUGGGUUUGUAAGUCAGACGUGAAAGCCUUCUGUUCAACGGAAGAAUUGCAUCUGAAACUACAAACCUUGAGUGUAGGAGGGGAGAAUGGAACUUCUGGUGGAGCGGUGAAAUGCGUAGAUAUCAGAAGGAACGCCGGCGGCGAAAGCGAUUCUCUGGCCUAUUACUGACACUCAGUGUGCGAAAGCUAGGGGAGCAAACGGGAUUAGAUACCCCGGUAGUCCUAGCCGUAAACGAUGGGCACUAAGUAGAGGGAAUUACCGAUGUUCUCUCUGCCGUAGCUAACGCAUUAAGUGCCCCGCCUGGGGAGUACGGCCGCAAGGCUAAAACUCAAAAGAAUUGACGGGGGCUCGCACAAGCGGUGGAGCAUGUGGCUUAAUUCGAUGCAACGCGAAAAACCUUACCGGGGCUUGACAUGGUAGAAGUAGGAACCCGAAAGGGUAACGAACGGUAUCCAGUCCGUGACUAUCACAGGUGUUGCAUGGCUGUCGUCAGCUCGUGUCGUGAGACGUUGGGUUAAGUCCCCUAACGAGCGAAACCCUUGUUUUUAGUUGCCAGCGGGUUGUGCCGGGCACUCUAGAAAGACUGCCGUCGUCAAGACAGAGGAAGGUGGGGAUGACGUCAAGUCAUCAUGGCCCUUAUGCCCCGGGCUGCACACGUGCUACAAUGGCCGGUACAAACGGAAGCGAAGCCGAGAGGUGAAGCGAAUCC